rnacentral:rRNA from 1 species
UACGUAGGGGGCAGGCGUUGUCCGGAUUUAUUGGGCGUAAAGAGCGUGUAGGCGGCCAGGUAGGUCUGCUGUGAAAACUCGAGGCUUAACCUCGAGAUGUCGGCGGAAACCAUCUGGCUAGAGUCCGGAAGAGGAGAAUGGAAUUCCCGGUGUAGCGGUGAAAUGCGCAGAUAUCGGGAAGAACACCCGUGGCGAAGGCGGUUCUCUGGGACGGUACUGACGCUGAGACGCGAAAGCGUGGGGAGCGAACAGG